GAGACCCACGCCAACAGUUGCCAGCUUGUCCUCCGGGAUGAUGGGGACACUGUUGGGACCGCCUCUGCUAAAGAGGAGGAAGGAAUGGGCAACGGUAGGUCAGCAUGCCCCGAAUUAUCCGGGCUACACGCGGGCUACAAUGGUCAGGACAAUGGGUAUCGACACCGAAAGGUGAAGGCAAUCUCCUAAACCUGUCCUUAGUUCGGAUUGUGGGCUGCAACUCGCCCACAUGAAGCUGGAAUCCGUAGUAAUCGCGCUUCAGCAGAGCGCGGUGAAUAC
rnacentral:rRNA from 1 species